UAGGGAAUCUUCCACAAUGGACGCAAGUCUGAUGGAGCAACGCCGCGUGAGUGAAGAAGGUCUUCGGAUCGUAAAGCUCUGUUGUUGGUGAAGAAGGAUAGAGGCAGUAACUGGUCUUUAUUUGACGGUAAUCAACCAGAAAGUCACGGCUAACUACGUGCCAGCAGCCGCGGUAAUACGUAGGUGGCAAGCGUUGUCCGGAUUUAUUGGGCGUAAAGCGAGCGCAGGCGGAAUGAUAAGUCUGAUGUGAAAGCCCACGGCUCAACCGUGGAACUGCAUCGGAAACUGUCAUUCUUGAGUGCAGAAGAGGAGAGUGGAACUCCAUGUGUAGCGGUGGAAUGCGUAGAUAUAUGGAAGAACACCAGUGGCGAAGGCGGCUCUCUGGUCUGCAACUGACGCUGAGGCUCGAAAGCAUGGGUAGCGAACAGGAUUAGAUACCCUGGUAGUCCAUGCCGUAAACGAUGAGCGCUAGGUGUUGGGGACUUUCCGGUUCUCAGUGCCGCAGCAAACGCAUUAAGCGCUCCGCCUGGGGAGUACGACCGCAAGGUUGAAACG
rnacentral:rRNA from 1 species